GGGGGUGUAGCUCAAUGGCAGAGCAGGCGGCUCAUAACUGCUUGGUUCCCGGUUCGAGUCCGGGCACCCCUA
rnacentral:tRNA from 1 species